rnacentral:rRNA from 1 species
AUGAACGCUGGCGGCGUGCCUAAUACCUGCAAGUCGAGCGAACGGACGAGAAGCUUGCUUCUCUGAUGUUAGCGGCGGACGGGUGAGUAACACGUGGAUAACCUACCUAUAAGACUGGGAUAACUUCGGGAAACCGGAGCUAAUACCGGAUGAUAUUUUGAACCGCAUGGUUCAAAAGUGAAAGACGGUCUUGCUGUCACUUAUAGAUGGAUCCGCGCUGCAUUAGCUAGUUGGUAAGGUAACGGCUUACCAAGGCAACGAUGCAUAGCCGACCUGAGAGGGUGAUCGGUCACACUGGAACUGAGACACGGUCCAGACUCCUACGGGAGGCAGCAGUAGGGAAUCUUCCGCAAUGGGCGAAAGCCUGACGGAGCAACGCCGCGUGAGUGAUGAAGGUCUUCGGAUCGUAAAACUCUGUUAUUAGGGAAGAACAUAUGUGUAAGUAACUGUGCACAUCUUGACGGUACCUAAUCAGAAAGCCACGGCUAACUACGUG